CAAACAGGCACAACAAAGCGGAAGACACAAUUCCCGGACCUCGCACAUUUUAAUCAUGGUCAAACUGUGCCCAUGGUGUCUUAUAGGCACAUGUCCCUUAAAAACCUACACUACACUUAUUCCUCUCACCGUCUCCAUCUCAUGGCUAGAAAAGAGACUGCAACCUGUUUCAAGUGUACACAUUCAGAUUCUGACUAAUCCAUCUAAUAUUAUCUUUCUGGGUUGAACUGAACUCAUACUAAGAUAGGGGUGACAUGCCCACUUUUCCACUCUCCCCUGAAUUUGUGCUUUUGGGACCCUUACCAUGCCAUCCCUUGCCUAAUAAACGAUUCC